UGUGAAUUGCAGGAUAUCUUGAACAUCGACAUCUUGGAACGCAUAUUGCGGCCUCAGGUCUCCCCUGUGGCCACGCCUGCGAGGGUCG
rnacentral:rRNA from 1 species